rnacentral:tRNA from 1 species
GCUCCUGUGGUCUAGUCGGUUAGGACGCUGGUCUUAUGAACCGGAUAUCGCGGGUUCGAGCCCCGCCAGGAGCA